GUAAAAUAUAUUAUCAAUCUGGGUUUAUCAUUAUUUAUUAUUUUCAAUUUGAAUAAGCAGCUGACAAGUUGAUUUUGACAUAUUGAUGAGUUUGACGUUGUGAUGGUGACGAUGGAUUUAACAGACUUUUUGACCUUGAUGAGAUCUUUGGACAAGGUCUUGUUACAGCGCAUAGGCAAACAACUUAGGGUGUAAAGAUUUCACAAGUUUCCUGUUCUGAUGUUGGAAGGUGUUUCCUGCUCACCGACAUACAUUAGGACAAACUGGCGGUGCCAAAUGGCCACUUUAAGACCAAGAGAUCAACCUAGGGACCAAAUCGCUGGAAUGGGAUAGUUUUGAUAGCUCGUCUGGCCAAAACUGUAGUCCAAAUACCAGUUUACGUGUGCCAAGUUCAGAGAGCUCAGUCAGUGAGGCUAUGACCAUUCCGAUCCGGGAUAAAAUGUAAGAUGAACUUCGCAACUGAUGUGGCCGAGCAGGCACGAAGACACAACUUCAAUCUAUUUAUCUUACAAUGUAAAAUUGUUGUCAA